CACAAUUGCCACUCUUUCAUUUUUGCUGUUUCUUUGGUAUUCUAGCUGUAGAUUGUUUUCACAUAUUGUAUCAUCUAAAGCUUUUAUACCAAAGCUCCAGCUUAAAUUGCUUGACACCGCCCAACCG
rnacentral:precursor_RNA from 15 species